AACGUAGGGGACGAGCGUUGUCCGGAUUUAUUGGGCGUAAAGCGCGCGCAGGCGGCUCGGAAAGUCGGGUGUGAAAACCCGGGGCUCAACCCCGGGCCUGCAUCCGAUACUAACGGGCUAGAGGCAGGUAGGGGAGAUCGGAAUUCCUGGUGUAGCGGUGAAAUGCGCAGAUAUCAGGAGGAACACCGGUGGCGAAGGCGGAUCUCUGGGCCUGUCCUGACGCUGAGGUGCGAAAGCUAGGGGAGCAAACAGG
rnacentral:rRNA from 1 species